UACAGAGGGUGCAAGCGUUAAUCGGAAUUACUGGGCGUAAAGCGCGCGUAGGUGGUUCGUUAAGUUGGAUGUGAAAUCCCCCGGCUUAACCUGGGAACUGCGUCUGAUACUGGGAGGCUUGAGUAUGGGAGAGGGAUGUAGAAUUCCAGGUGUAGCGGUGAAAUGCGUAGAUAUCUGGAGGAAUACCGGUGGCGAAGGCGGCAUCCUGGACCAUAACUGACGCUGAGGCGCGAAAGCUAGGGGAGCAAACGGG
rnacentral:rRNA from 1 species